UGGAAGGGAUGUAUUUAUUAGAUAAAAAACCAAUGCCCUUCGGGGCUUUUUGGUGAUUCAUGAUAACUUUACGGAUCGCAUAGCCUUGCGCUGGCGACGGUUCAUUCAAAUUUCUGCCCUAUCAACUUUCGAUGGUAAGGUAUUGGCUUACCAUGGUUUCAACGGGUAACGGGGAAUUAGGGUUCGAUUCCGGAGAGGGAGCCUGAGAAACGGCUACCACAUCCAAGGAAGGCAGCAGGCGCGCAAAUUACCCAAUCCCGACACGGGGAGGUAGUGACAAUAAAUACUGAUACAGGGCUCUUUUGGGUCUUGUAAUUGGAAUGAGUACAAUUUAAACCUCUUAACGAGGAACAAUUGGAGGGCAAGUCUGGUGCCAGCAGCCGCGGUAAUUCCAGCUCCAAUAGCGUAUAUUAAAGUUGUUGCAGUUAAAAAGCUCGUAGUUGAAACUUGGGCCUGGCUGGCGGGUCCGCCUCACCGCGUGCACUCGUCCGGCCGGGCCUUCCUUCUGAAGAACCUCAUGCCCUUCACUGGGCGUGCUGGGGAACCAGGACUUUUACA
rnacentral:rRNA from 1 species